ensembl:lncRNA
GAAACACUCAGGAUGGGACCUAGCAGUCUGUGUUUUAACAAGUCCUCCAGGUGAUUCUGAUGCUAGCUUAGCAGUGGAGAACCAUGGCUUUAAAGCAGCGAUGAGGACAGUUGCUGCUGCUGCUUCUGCUAAGUUGCUUCAGUCGUGUUCGACUCUGCGACCCUAUGGACGACAGCCCACCAGGCUCCCCCGUCCCUGUGAUUCUCCAGGCAAGAACACUGAAGUGGGUUGCCAUUUUCUUCUCCAGUGCAUGAAAGUGAAAAGUGAAGGUGAAAUCGCUCAGUCGUGUCUGACUCUUAGCGACCGCAUGGACUGCAGGCUAUCAGGCUCCUCCGGCCAUGGGAUUUUCCAGGCAAGAGUACUGGAGUGGGGUGCCAUUGCCUUCUCCGGAUGAGGAGAGUAGAACACAGCUAAACUUUUGUGCUGUAAAUGCUACUUCAGAAUUAUAAACUCCAAUGUGAUAAAAUUGGCUGGGAAUCACUUGCUCUGGAACUUCUUAGGAGUAUGAGACUGGUCACACUGUGAGCUGUUAAAGUCUCUAACUCCCUGGGCAGGGUGUGUUAACGUGGAGCUGGAGUUUUCCAAAGGAGCUACCAUAAUCUGUGGACUCAAUGAUCCGUUAAUGACACCUGAAUGCUCACAGCAGAGCCCACCUCCACCUGCUGCUGCUCAUGGCUGGCCCGGUGAGGAUGCAGGUGCAUGGUAAGCACCCAAAUCAACAAUUAAGCUCACUUUUAUUAGUGGCUUCUGCUUACAAAACAGAGCUCUCGGGGAGCAUGAUUCAGUCUAGACAAAAACCUGGCAGCUCAGAAGAGUCUCACUGUUGGGGACCAGUGACAUCUUGUUAUAAUAAGGAGAGCCAGAAGAGUAAUAUUAUUCUGUUUUCACCUUCAUAGACUCUUACGGCCUAUUAUGGGGAUUACUAAAAACAAUUGUUUCCCACCUUAAACCUUCAAUUCUCCCCUCUAACAGUAAGGAAUUUUAAAGAAAAUAGGCAUUCCAUCUCUUCCAGGUGAACUAAGAUUAAUUCCUUUGGAAGUGUCACAUUUAGUUUGCUAAGAAAAAAAAAAGUCCACUGAGUGUGUAUAACUCUAAAAAAGCUUAAUACACUGGCAAUACAAAUGUUAAUAAAUAAAAACAUCUGUAAGCACAACUUAAGAAAUAUACCUAUCAGGGCUCUAGCUGAAAACAAAAAAAAAAAAAGAAGAAGAAGAAGAAAAGUACCCCUUAUAGGAGCCCAGCUCUGUGUGGGACAUUUUGCCUUCAUGUUUUCAUUUUAUUCCAGACAACCUUUUAAGAUUUUAAAAUGUGAACAGGGCCUUCUAUUGUUUGACACCCACAGACUUCUUUUAAGCUUGUGUCUUCAACCUGUGUGUUCCUUUUUAGUUAAUGGAGUAAUGAUAGCCCACAUGAGCCAUUUUUAAUUCUACCUAGAAGUUUAGUUGUCUAAUAGUUCUUAGAGCAUACUUGAAACAAUUGGAAAAAUACAUCAGUAUUUGUUAAAAAAAAUUCCCACAAUGCUUUAAUUGUCACAUGAGUAAUAGUAUCCAUUCUACUUUAAUUGACAUUAGAAAAUAGUACCACUGUACUUGAGUAAAGCAAACCAUCAAAAAAAAGUUGUAACAUAUUUAGGGAAGAAAAAGAAAACCUGAACAAUUCCUUUUUCAGAACAGCUCAGUUUUAUGAAGUGUGGAAAAAAAAAAACACACAAUGUUUAAAGAAUCUGCAUUUUGGAUUUGACAUUAAUAGAUCAUUGAACUGUUACUUUUGGCCAGUAUUGUUGAAGAGAUUGACUAUUGAUCAGUUAUUAAAAUUUACAUUCAUGGAAGAAUUCCUAGAUAACAGCAGAAACUAACGAAGAACUGUACCUUCAUGUCUGAGUUCUACUAACUGUUGCUAGCAGCCUGGCAGUGUGUGUCUACAAUGCUUGUCCUACAGUUUUCAACUAAUCAACUGUCACAGAUACAUCACCAUGAGAAGGAAACAAGUAGCUUUUUUUCUCUGGCUCACUGGGCAUACCAUGAAGGUGGUCAGAGCCCUGGCCCUCUCCUCUCCCCACCCCUUCUCCUGGAGUCUUCAUCCCGUGGCCUACAUCUGUGCACUUUAGCUGCAUACGGCUAUUUCAAUUAAAAAUUUUUUUUUCCAUUCAUAUAAACAUUUAUUUGCUAUUUGAACUUCGGAAUUGACUUCAAAUGAGCAUUGGAAGAUAACAAAUCAAUAUAGAUGCUUUGUAGUAUAAUUUUCCAAAUAACUUGUUAAGAUCUUUUUUAUAAAAUUAGCUGGGACAGCCCAAAUGUGGCAUUUUAUGUAGCCAGAAGAAAUUGCUUUUUGGAUGAAUGAUAACAUGGCAGAAUGUUUUCACAUAGCAAAAUUGUUUAAUCGUUUAAUAAAAAAGAAAAGCAUACAAAAUGAAAAAAAAAAAAAAAAACCCAAACACAUUUUAACUGGCUUAAUCUCACUGGGCAAUUGCUGGGGAGUUCUUCGUUUUCUCUCCAAUCUAUUUGACUUUACUGAUUUUUGACAUUUUAAUUCUUCCUCAGCAUUCUGAGAAAUGCUUUCCCAUUAGAAGCACUGAUCCUGGCUUCUAUACUCCUGGGUGAGGUAUUGUAAUCAUCUGUUUAAACAGGCCACCAUAUCCACACCCCAGUAGGAAGGCGAGAAUCAAGGGAGGUUUUCUGGAUUAUCU